AGUUGGUUCAUCCAUGAAAAUGAUAGAGGGGUUUGCUACCAGUUCAACUGCAAUGGUCAGCCUUUUGCGUUGCUCCGUUGAUAGACCAUUGACUCCAGGCAAUCCAACUAAGGCUGAUCUCAAGGGAGUUAGCUCCACGAGUUCCAUAACUUCCUCAACAAACAUCUUUCUCUUGUUUUUGUCAACAUCUUGAGGUAAACGCAACCAAGCUGAGUAAACCAAUGACUCAUAAACUGUAAUAUAAGGCGAAUGGAUGUCAUUCUGCUCACAAUAUCCAGAAAUGCGUGCAAACGUUUCUUGCUUCUUCGGAUACCCAGAAAUCUUGAUGUCACCAUCAAUAUAUCCACCUGUUUUUCUACCGGCCAACACAUCCAUCAAUGUUGUUUUACCAGCUCCACUAACGCCCAUCAA
rnacentral:misc_RNA from 1 species